CAUUAUGUUUUAAAGGAGACAUAACAUGAAAAACCCACUUUUUUAUCCAUUAACACAGUGUGUUUCACAUUUUAAGUGUCUAAGUGAGCAAAAAGGCUUAUAUUAUUCACUGGAGUUGCUAUUUAGAUAUUUAAUAAUUAAGUUUUGGGCAUAUUUGUCCACCCGUUCAGUUUUUCACAUUAUCUAUUACAUCAGUAAUUUAUUUCGUCAGGAUAACUACCAAAUAUGGUAAUGGCCCUCGGCUAAACACAGAGCCAAUCUGCCAUUUUUUCUUCUCGCUAAGAUUUUUUGUAGUCCUAUUGGAAAAAUGCAGAAUGUCUGGUUAUUUUAGCCACACACAGCUCAAAACUGUUCCUCGUUUUAAGGAAGGGUGGUGUGGCAGUAUUUAAACCCAGGAGCUGAUGACACUACUGCUAAAAAAACACAGAAGAAAAAGUAGUGUGUUUGUGUUUGUUGUGUGUGUGUGUGUGUGUGUGUGUGUGUGUGUGUGUGUGUGUGUGUGUGUGUGUGUGUGUGUGUGUGUGUGUGUGUGUGUGCGUGCGUGCGUGGUUCGUUCGUUCUGUCUCCAGGCUAGUGGCUAAGUACUGAGGGCUCCAUCUGAAUUUGGCAGCACCGGGACACAGCAGCAGAGCGAGUCAACAUCCAGAAGUCUGGAGCCGUGUUUCACUGACAGGCUGUCAGACUAACGCCCUGAUGAGCUCAGCAGGGACAAACUGGUCUGAUGUUUAGGAACACAGAACGUUCAGAUGUUGGCGUUUCACGUCACCUACUGAGGAAGGAGGCUCACCAGUAAAGAGAUGGUAGCUGGACCAGACCAAAAAUAUGGCGAUGACAUCAUGGAACUGGUCUUUGGAAAAGUUUUCCCUGAACCAACUCCGUUUCUAGAUGAGGUAGAGAAGAUCUGCAUCUCACCAACCCUCUGGUCUCAGUAUUCAGACAACGGAGGUCUCCCACUGUUAUCCAGGACCAGUUUGAAGCCCACAUACUGCCCCUCCCUCAUCAUCAGGAAACAUCAAUCCGUUUCCUGAGGACAACAGAAGACGGCAGGAGGACAGGAACUCUGUGACCUAGAUACCACCAGCACCGAGACACAAAGCACCUGUGUGCACAACGCCUGUUUAACUACUAAAGCCUGUUUAUUAUAUUGUUCUACUUAUUUGCUGUGAGGUUAAUACUUAGAAAAUUUGUAUAUUAAUGUAAACAAUAAAAAAAAUCACUGAUUGUAUGUUUUCUUUUAGAUGUAAUGGUCCAAACUCAGCCUUGUAGACAUUUAUUGCAUCCUGUAGGUAACAGGCUCAGAUCCAGGAUGACCCAGCAUGCUCUUCUUCCAUUCUGGCUGUUAGGGAUUUUAUCAAUAACUCAAUGCCUACUGAUGUUUUAACCUAACAGUAUUUAUUUAGAAUGCAGGUAAGAUUUAACUAUAUUUGUUAGCAAAGCAGACUGAUCUUGGGAAUUUCACUGCAGCACUGAUGUCCACCUCUCUGUACACAUUAGAGAGAAUUACCACUUUACAGCUAAACACAUUUAAUAAAGAUAUAGGCUAAACAUUGCAGACAAUAAAAACAAAGUUGUAAGCAUUAGAAUUAUAAUGAUCACAUUAAAGAACAUUUGGAGGAAUGUUCUUUAUUUUUGACUAGAAUCUCAAAUCUUUAAAUUAAAAUGUAACUGCUUUUUAUCCAUUUUCAGCCUUUAAGACACCCAAUAUAAAAUAAGAC